UACGGAGGAUGCGAGCGUUAUCUGGAUUUAUUGGGUUUAAAGGGUGCGCAGGCGGCACGGCAAGCCGGCGGUCAAAUCGCGGGGCUCAACCCCGCCCAGCCGUCGGAACUGCCGGGCUGGAGUGGGCGAGAAGUGCGCGGAAUGCGUGGUGUAGCGGUGAAAUGCAUAGAUAUCACGCAGAACUCCGAUUGCGAAGGCAGCGCACCAGCGCCCUACUGACGCUCAGGCACGAAAGCGUGGGUAUCGAACAGG
rnacentral:rRNA from 1 species